UACUACUUGGAUAACCGUGGUAAUUCUAGAGCUAAUACAUGCUAAAAACCCCGACUUCGGAAGGGGUGUAUUUAUUAGAUAAAAAACCAAUGCCCUUCGGGGCUCCUUGGUGAUUCAUAAUAACUUAACGAAUCGCAUGGCCUUGUGCCGGCGAUGGUUCAUUCAAAUUUCUGCCCUAUCAACUUUCGAUGGUAAGGUAUUGGCUUACCAUGGUUUCAACGGGUAACGGGGAAUUAGGGUUCCAUUCCGGAGAGGGAGCCUGAGAAACGGCUACCACAUCCAAGGAAGGCAGCAGGCGCGCAAAUUACCCAAUCCCGACACGGGGAGGUAGUGACAAUAAAUACUGAUACAGGGCUCUUUUGGGUCUUGUAAUUGGAAUGAGUACAAUUUAAAUCCCUUAACGAGGAACAAUUGGAGGGCAAGUCUGGUGCCAGCAGCCGCGGUAAUUCCAGCUCCAAUAGCGUAUAUUAAAGUUGUUGCAGUUAAAAAGCUCGUAGUUGAACCUUGGGCCUGGCUGGCCGGUCCGCCUCACCGCGUGCACUGGUCCGGCCGGGCCUUUCCUUCUGGGGAGCCGCAUGCCAUUCAUUUGGUGUGUCGGGGAUCCAGGACUUUUACUUUGAAAAAAUUAGAGUGUUCAAAGCAGGCCUAUGCUCGAAUACAUUAGCAUGGAAUAAUAGAAUAGGACGUGUGGUUCUAUUUUGUUGGUUUCUAGGACCGCCGUAAUGAUUAAUAGGGAUAGUCGGGGGCAUCAGUAUUCAAUUGUCAGAGGUGAAAUUCUUGGAUUUAUUGAAGACUAACUACUGCGAAAGCAUUUGCCAAGGAUGUUUUCAUUAAUCAGUGAACGAAAGUUAGGGGAUCGAAGACGAUCAGAUACCGUCGUAGUCUUAACCAUAAACUAUGCCGACUAGGGAUCGGGCGAUGUUAUCUUUUUGACUCGCUCGGCACCUUACGAGAAAUCAA
rnacentral:rRNA from 1 species